GGGGUUGUGGCUCAGCAGUAGAGCGCUUGCCUCGCAGGUGCGAGACCCUGAGUUCGAUCCUCAGCACCA
rnacentral:tRNA from 1 species